UCGCCCGGCUGCAUAUGUGCGCGCGCGUGCACGCAGGGGGACAACAUCCCAUUAAUCUCGGGUGCCACCCGAGGCGACCAUCCCGCAAACAAAAUGUCGGGGGUGGGGGGCGCGGUGAGCGCCGCAAAAAGAGUUAACCCUUGGCGGAUCUAGUCGGGGGCGUCCGUCCGUCAGCCUCGACCGCCUGCGCUGCAUGUCGUGUUGCGGUAUGCGCCCCAUCGGUGUUUUUGCAAAGGCAACCUCCGGCUGGCCUUUCGUAUUCAUUCGUAGUUUUCUUGUUGUGGAGAAAAUGAGGGGAGAUGCGGGACGAUGGAAGUGGAAGGCAAGCUUCGCUGCCGAGGUGGAGAGUACGGGCGAAAGGUCUGCGGAGCGACGAGAGAGAGAUGGCUGCGGGGAAAGUCAAGCAACCACGGGGUCUGAACAAGGGGGAGUUGAUGCUGCUGCAGCGUGAGCUGGAGGAGGCCGAGGAGGAUAUGAACGACGGGACGCCGCGGUGGACCUCCGUGUUGUACGAUGCGGCGCUGCCGCUCGCGAUGUACGCGGUGCUGCUCGCCGCCUUCGUGCUUCAGCCCCUGUGGGACGAGAUCUCCGGUUCCAAGUCCUAGCUCCGCUCUUCAAGAUCAGGAUGUCACCGCGGCCGGAGUCACCGAUGUCACCACCACGCCUCGCCAACGCCGUUCUAGCCCGCACCUCCUCGGGGCGAUUGGAGAAACCUGCCCCUCCCCCCCCCCCGUUGUUUCAACUCCCAAGUUGGGUGUAUGAAUUGGCGACCUCUGAAUUUCAAGUCCAAUUGCUAACCAUUACACCACGGCAACGUCCCAUCACUCGUGUGUCCUAUAUAAUACCCAAUGUCAUGAAAGCAUCGACAGAAGCAUGGAAAUUGGUGACUUUUCAGCCUGGAAGGAUGCAACUUGGCCCAUCUAAUUUAAUUCUACGGAUGUACCAGAUAUGCAAAAUAGGCAUUACAAAAAAAAUGGUCGACAUAGGACCCUCCACUUUGAAGGGCAUAAUUGAAAAAGCCUUUUUUGUAGUACAUGUAUCCGAGGAUUGUCUUUUUUUCGUGUUCUCUGUACAGAUAUUGGCUUGGCUCGAGGGAGGGAGGGAGG